rnacentral:lncRNA from 1 species
AAGUUGAUGGCAUGCUUGUUAUUGCUUGAGAACUGUAGUAGCAUGCUAAUGGUUAGGUUGAUUGGUUAGUUAGCGAAUGCGGAAUUCUUAGAUGAUAUCACUAAGUUGUGGAUAGUUAGGUAUUCUGGAAUUAGUCUUUAUGCUAGAUUCUGGAAUACGAAGGAUUGUGUUAAUUUGCGAUUAAUACUAGGAACCUUGUGUUAUUUUUACCGGGUUUAAUAUUAAUCAUAUAUUGGCCAUAUAGCAUUUGUGUAACCCACAAUGCUAGGCAUGUUUGAGGUGAAAUGUGUUGAUUGUGUGGAGAUUAAUACUAGGAACCUUGUGUUAUUUUUACCGGAUUUAGUAUUAAUCAUAUAUUGGCCGAUAGCAUUUGUGUAACCCGCAAUGCUAGGCAUAUUAGAGUGAGUUAGUGUUCCUUCAGACCUCGUACCCAUCGGGUUCAAGGAAACCCCUUAUUCGCUGGAUCGGGAAGACUCAGAUAGACGGGGUCAUGGCCUAUGGCUGAGUGAUUACACGACGGUGUAAUGUGGCAGUGACCCGAAGGACUGUGGGCUGUCGCGCUGUGAUCCGAAGGACUGUGGGCUGUCGCGCUGUGAUCCGAAGGACUGUGGGCCACGGUCGGUUGAAAGUUCUUUCUUCUGGCCUUUGUGGUAGGAAUAUAGGAUAUUGCCGAUAGUGAAAGAGGAACAUAACGUCCCAGGGCCCGAGUUUGUUAUAUAUAUUAUAUCGUGUUUUGGGUUGUUAAACCCUGGUUUAAGUCGAGUUUGAGUUUGGUGAUGAGCUAGUAUUUAGCAUAAUGCUAGUUAUCUUGCUAUCGUUUACCGCUGCAUAACUUCUGAUAUUGUUUAUGUUAUUGAAUUGUGCUAUUAGGUGAACCUCUCGCUUUAGAUUUUUUGGGGUGGGAUAGCGAGGGGUUGUAUUUGUUAGUUGGGGAUGUAACUCGCUGAGUAACAUUAGGUCACUCAUCCAACUCUGUUGUCCUUUUUGCAGGUUGCUUUAGGUAAAGAUGAUCGGAUAGCUUGGUGCUGGACGUUAGGACCGCCGGAGUAGAUUUCAUGCCUUUUGUAAACGGUGUUGCGUUAUGUGUUUUGUUGACUCGAUUUGGCAUUAGGCCGGGCCCAGUCUUGAAUUAUUCAUUGUAUGAAUGUUUCCUAAAUCAAUAAAAGUAAUUGUUUUAUAUGCGCUUCAUGAGUACUCUGAUAUUUGACUAGUCCGGUCUAACACAACGUUAGGUCGUGGUACGGGUUGAAAAGCCUUAGGCCUCGAUCUAACAGGCAAUGCUAGGCAUAUUAGAGUGAGUUAGUGUUCCUUCAGACCUCGUACCCAUCGGGUUCAAGGAAACCCCUUAUUCGCUGGAUCGGGAAGACUCAGAU